GCUGGGCGUGGUGGCUCACGCCUGUAAUCCCAGCACUUUGGGAGGCUGAGGUGGGUGGAUUGCCUGAGCUCAGGAGUUUUGAGACCAACCUGGGCAACACGGUGAAACCCUGUCUCUA
ensembl:misc_RNA Metazoa_SRP Metazoan signal recognition particle RNA